rnacentral:misc_RNA from 1 species
GAUGAAGAACGCAGCGAAAUGCGAUACGUAAUGUGAAUUGCAGAAUUCCGUGAAUCAUCGAGUCUUUGAACGCACAUUGCGCCCCCUGGUAUUCCGGGGGGCAUGCCAGUCCGAGCGUCAUUGCUGCCCUCAAGCACGGCUUGUGUGUUGGGCCUCCGUCCUCCUCCCGGGGGACGGGCCCGAAAGGCAGCGGCGGCACCGCGUCCGGUCCUCGAGCGUAUGGGGCUUCGUCACCCGCUCUUGUAGGCCCGGCCGGCGCUUGCCGACACAUCAAUCUUUUUUCCAGGUUGACCUCGGAUCAGGUAGGGAUACCCGCUGAACUUAAGCAUAUCAAUAAGCGGAGGA